rnacentral:lncRNA from 1 species
AUUUGGUACCAAGAGAAAACACUGGAGAUACAGUGCUGAGUGAAGAAAAAAGUAGAAGGGCAAAAACUAGCCCUGGAUCCCUAGGAAUUAACCAACUGAAGCAAAUAACAUGGGAAAAUGUUGGAGAUCGAAGCAGAGUGAAGGAAGAGCAGAGCUACAAAGCCUUGGUAGAAUGGAAGUGGAAUUCUUGAAAACACGGUUGAUAAGGAAAACAAGAGGAUUCAGGACACCCUGUUUUGAAAACCCUUGUCUGCUUGUGUGACAUUACUUGUGAUUUCACUGCACUUUAUACAUGGCUAAUGUAUCUGGCAAUUUUGUAAGUAGGAAUGCUUAAUUCUAAGAAAUGCC